rnacentral:rRNA from 1 species
UACGUAGGGCGCAAGCGUUGUCCGGAAUUAUUGGGCGUAAAGAGCUCGUAGGCGGCUUGUCACGUCGGAUGUGAAAGCCCGGGGCUUAACUCCGGGUCUGCAUUCGAUACGGGCUAGCUAGAGUGUGGUAGGGGAGAUCGGAAUUCCUGGUGUAGCGGUGAAAUGCGCAGAUAUCAGGAGGAACACCGGUGGCGAAGGCGGAUCUCUGGGCCAGUACUGACGCUGAGGAGCGAAAGCGUGGGGAGCGAACAGG